GUCAAAUCUGGAAACUAUCAUUUCGAAAACAAAACGUUCAUUCUUUCAGUGAAAUACGGAACCGUUCCGUAUUUUAUCUAACUGGUGGCAUCCAUAAGUCUAAAUAUUACUGUUACAUUGCACAACCUCAAUGUCAUAAUUAUGUAAAAUUCUGGCAAAUUAAUUACGGUCUUUGUUAGUAUGAGGAUUCUGUGUUAUGCACUAUAGCCCGUUACCAUAUAUGUGAUUGAAUAUUAUCUGCUGUUGGCUUGUGUGGAUGUAUGUAGGUGUUAUGCAACAUAGCUGACUUGAAACAUUGUUAACAGUUUCAGGGCCAUCUGCCUUUCUCAUGAUGACAAAAUACAGAAUAACAUAAAAACGGACACAUACAGAACGUAGUGUAGCAAACCACAGACUGUUUUUGUUAGAACUCAAACUUAACAAUAACAGAAACCAGAUAUGUGAUAACGGUAUCUAGGGAAUGAGCACAUAGAUACUCAACACAGCAAGUUACAUCUAUCAACUGGAGUGCCCGGGGGCUGGUGCCAGCUCGAACGACAACAAUCAACGAUAGGCUGGGUGAGUUUAAACCACGCCCAGUCUCUACCCUGACAGGCCGGCUCGGAAGCAGGAACUACUACUGUCAUCAGGGUAUAUUAUAAUAUCUUUGUCAGGAACAAGUCCGUUCUCUGUUUGCCCUGCGGGGUGGGACAGUGAGCCCGUAUACACGAAAAUUGCAUUUACCACUUAUUGCUUAGCUAAUAAAAAAUACAUAGUAUACAAUCGGUGACUCAUUGUCAUAUUUAUCCUGAUACCAGAUUCGAAUUGACGCAAUCUAACAAUUGGUGACCCCGAACGUGAUCUGGUGAAGGAUUUCGCUGGACAUUGGUGUGCCAGCCGAUUGGCCAGUACUGUCGUCGGACGGUGUGUCUCACAAAUCCUGACCGGUCAACUAAAAAAGUCUGUUACAGAUGUGGUACAGGCUUCAGGUAUGAUGCCCUUGCUUGAUGCUCCUGAAGGAGAUGCAGAUACGGAAUCUAACUUCCGGAGACAGAUGGGGCUGACUAAGGAUGACCCCUGGUUUGCUGUGGGUGAGGUCGUGGAAUGAUACCUUCUUAAAUACUUAACGUGUACGAUAUAACUUGUCCUCUCUUAUGUGAAGGUUUAGAGUCCCUGGGUGGCAAGGAGCCCACCUGGUACAGGAUAGGAGUAGCUGAGAGGACCAGAUGGUUUAUAAUAAUGCUUUGCUCUGCUUUACUCUGUUUUCCAUGACCAAAGUUUUAUCCUAUAUCUUACAUGUCAAUAAAGUUUUAUCCUGUUUUUGCUAAGUGACACCUUUGUGGGUGUCAAAAGGGGGAGACAAAAGCAUGUAUCACUUGAUGAUUUUUAUUUUUUCUAUUUCUCUUGGUUGAUUUUUCUUUUCUGUUUUUCUGUAAAAUAAUAAAGAUAUAUAUAUUUGUUUAUAAUGUUUUAUUAAUAAUAAACGUUUUAUUAUUCUCAUGAAAUGCUAUUAACAUAUACUAUGUUGGGACCGCUGAAAUAAAGGAUAAUGAGUGUCAAAAGUGGGAAUCAAAAACUCCAGUUAAUAUAUAUGUUAUUCAACAAAGGGACGUGCAUCACUUCAUAUAUUCACAAAAUAAACGUUUAAAGUUCCUGGAUUCAUCAGCAACCUAGUAUAUCGGAUGGUGUGGUUACACCCCUUGGGGGUGUAAAAAGGGGGAUUAUGAGGAUUCUGUGUUAUGCACUAUAGCCCGUUACCAUAUAUGUGAUUGAAUAUUAUCUGCUGUUGGCUUGUGUGGAUGUAUGUAGGUGUUAUGCAACAUAGCUGACUUGAAACAUUGUUAACAGUUUCAGGGCCAUGGGCCUUUCUCAUGAUGGAAAAAUACAGAAUAACAUAAAAACGGACACAUACAGAACGUAGUGUAGCAAACCACAGACUGUUUUUGUUAGAACUCAAACUUAACAGAAACCAGAUAUGUGAUAACGGUAUCUAGGGAAUGAGCGCAUAGAUACUCAACACAGCAAGUUACAUCUAUCAACUGGAGCGCCCGGGGGCUGGUACCAGCUCGUACGACAACAAUCAACGAUAGGCUGGGUGAGUUUAAACCACUUCCAGUCUCUACCCUGACAGGCCGGCUCGGAAGCAGGAACUACUACUGUCAUCAGGGUAUAUUAUAAUAUCUUUGUCAGGAACAAGUCAGUUCUCUGUUUGCCCUGCGAGGUGGGACAGUGAGCCCGUAUAUACGAAAAUUGCAUUUACCACUUAUUGCUUAGCUAAUAAAAAAUACAUAGCAUACAAUCGGUGACUCAUUGUCAUAUUUAUCCUGACGCAAUCUAAC
rnacentral:lncRNA from 13 species